UCAACGUACCGUUUCUGAAGAAAAGCAAGGGGAAUUCGGAGGCAAUUAAUGGAUCAAAGAUAAAAACGCGGUAAUUCGAGCCCUUCAAUUAGUAUUGAACAAGUACUGAUCCCAACAAAGAUGAUUCUAGGGCUUUUCACCCUCUCUCCCAAAGUUCUUAUGUAUUUCGUCUCUAAUUUCAGUUAUACCUUAAUUUUCUCAAAGAGAUUCUUGAGACGGUAGAGUCUCGUGCUGAUAACGUGCUAGUGAAGAAGGAACUAAGAAAAAGCGUAUUGAAGGAACAGAAGCUUAGGUUACUUUCCAACUCAGUCUUUCUCUCUGUUUGUUUCUUGGUAUCCUCAUGUUAACACCUUUUUACAAAUUUCCUUUAAUUUCACUAUGUACUAUUUUCUCUUUCGUAGAAUUACAAUGGAUAUCUAUAUUCGGCUGCAGAACCCAUUAAUCCAAGAAAAAAAAACGACAAACAACCUCCUCAGGUGGGCUUCGGCAAAAGGAAAAGAACACACCAUCUCUUCUCUGUUACAUCCUUAACUGCAGCAAAAACAACCCAUUCAGCCAUAUAAAAAAACUUUACAGCUCCUUGCGCCAUUUUCACCUUUAACCGCCAACCAUCGACCACUCUCCGCCAUUCUCCAUUUUCUCUAAUCUAACUCACUUCACAAUCCAUGGCCACAUAAGAUUCAAUGGCUCAAUUCCGUUAUAAUCUGAAUUCUAAUAAUGGGUCAUCUGCACAUUGACUUCGGAUCGUUUAUAUCUCUUUCAACUCUGGCCAUGGUAAUCAAUGGAAAAUAACUUUACGUUAGGCUUCCGUAGUUGUUACUUCUUUUUCCCUUGCUUAUUUGCUUAU
rnacentral:lncRNA from 1 species